rnacentral:rRNA from 1 species
GCCGGCAGCCAUAUCACCCUGUAGCCCAAGCCUGGUUGCCCACUGAAGCUAAGCAGGGUGAGCCUGGUCAGUACAUGGAUGGGAGACCUCCUGGCAAAGCUAGGUUGCUGCUGGAA